rnacentral:rRNA from 1 species
AAACUUCCAACAACGGAUCUCUUGGUUCUGGCAUCGAUGAAGAACGCAGGGAUGUGAUUUGCAGAAUUUAGUGAAUCAUCGAAUCUUUGAACGCACAUUGCGCCCCUUGGUAUUCCGGGGGGCAUGCCUGUUCGAGCGUCAUU